GAUUGAUAUGGCUAUCACCAGUCAUUAUCGUUGCCUUUUGCUGGUUGGUGGCCUCGCUCUGUUGGGUGUGCACUGCUGAAGAUGAUUUCAUGUGCAGCAGACGGGGUUAUGGCUUCCCAAUCAAUAUCUUUGUCGACAUUUGUAGCGAACUGUCGGAAUUUCUCAAAACCUUCGUUGAAAGCCAUAGACAUUGCCUAGCCAUGGUUGUCAC
rnacentral:lncRNA from 1 species